UUUUUUUUUUUUUUUUUUUUUUUUUUUUACAGGACACAGCAUGGAUAGCUGGUCUCUGCUUUAGAAUGUCUGAAGCCAGAGCUGAAAUGACCAAAGAGCUGGUGGCUGCUACUGGCAUUUGGCUAGGACCUCAGGGGGCCCCUCCCUGUGUGCCCUGGGCUUCCUCCCAGCAUGGUGGCCUCAGGGUAGGGGGUCUGAUUUCUUAUGGGGCACCAUGUGGCUCGGGAGGGCGGUGUCCCAGCGAUGGGCAGGGCUGCCUCAGUUUUUGCAACUGAGCUCAUUUCUGCUGUCUCCCAGGGCCACUUCCACCACAUUCUAUCGGUCACAGGCCAUUCACAAGAAAGACUGGCCAGGUUCAAAAGGAGGGGACAAGGGACCCCAUCUUUCCAUGGAGGAGUGUCAAGGUCACGGUGUAGAUGAGCGAGCAGGCUAAUUUGCGGCCGUCUUGGAAACACAAAGGGUCCUGCUACCUCCUGGAGAGCCAUGGGGGCCUCUCGAGAGCACACAUCACCCCUUCUAGGAAGUGGAACUUGAACCUAGUCUGAUUCUGUGUCUGUGUCUGGCAAGCUUUGGAGUCUGUGCCCACGCCCAGUUCCGAGAUCCCUGAGCCUCAGGAGGCCCGGGGGACCUGAAGGCUCCUUGGACCCCACUCCUCCGUCUCAUAUGAUUCAAAUGGGUUCAAUCAGCAGUGUCAGGGCCAGAGUCCUGCUUGUCCUGCUUCUGAAGGGAGCAAAGAGAAAAGCUUGUGCUGGACGUGGAAAGCCACAAAAGGCACCCCCACCCCCGCCCCAUACUUCAGAGAAUGGGGCUUCUCCUGUUAUACUGGCAUGGAAAACAGGAAUUCCCACUUAAAAAAUAAAACUUCCCCUUCCUUGUUUUUAAGUAGAAAGGAAGCCGCCAACAAACCCAGAAACCCCAAGUGAAGUGUGGGACCUGGUUUUGGGGAACUGGCCAUAACUGCCCCCCCCCCCCGCUGUGGUAAGAGGGGGACACUCCGGAGGCCUGCCCCUUGGCCCUCGGAGCCCAGGGACACUGUGCCCAUGGGAGCUGUCCGGAAGGGGAGGCUGCUGUGUCCAUGGCAGGGGCUGACCUGUCAGGAGUGGAUGCCUUAAACUGAGGGGUGUUGGGCUGGGGCCGGGGACCAGCUCUGGGGUGAGGGGUGGCACUGACAAUGCUAGGCCGGGUAAGAGCCACAGACGUCCCCCAGCCUUCCAGAACUUGGCCCAGACAACGCAGCUACUCCACCUGGCCCACAAUCACCAACAGGACCCACUUCGACCCCAUGCCCCCACUCUUGUGUGGCAAGGUCUCAGAAGAUCUGCGUGUCACCUGCACUCUCAACUUGUGCCAGAUUCUUCAGCUUGUUCCCUUUCCAAUUUUAGCAAAUUUAUCUACAAAGGAAGGCUUCUCCCUCCAUGAGGAGCAAGCACCACUUGCCCUAAGCCAGAAUCUCUCAAUCUGGGCUCCACGGACAUUGGGAGCUGGGCCAUUCUUUGGCCUGUGCAUUGUAGGGUGUCUGGCAGCCUGCCUGGCCUCUACCUGUGACACGUGCGUAGUAUCCACCCCCAACUGAGGACAACAAAGACGUCUCCAGACACUGCCAUGUGUUCCCUCGGGGGGAACAAAAUCGCCCCCAGGGGAGAAUCCCUGCCAUAAAUGGAUAGCAACAUAAAGAAACAAAUUCAAUGACAUUGUAGUUGGAUUCUUGCUUGCCAAGGGCACUGACCUUUUUCUUGCAAGGGGAGCAGGCCUCCUUGAGGACCACAAAGGAGGGGUUAUGGGGACUCCUUCCCUGAUGACUCAGAAGAGAACACAGUGAAAUUCCAUGUCAUUUAUGGAAUGACCCCCUAAAACACGGCCCCUAAGAUGAGGACCACAAGGUCCUGCCCACUGGAAACCAUGCCUUCAUCGACUCAAUGGGACGGGGUUGGCCAGAGCCAGUGGGCUGGCCCACGGCCUAGGCUCAGGAGAAGCCCGGAUAUUAUCUGGUUAUCUUUGGAGAGAGACACCUGUCUGCAGUGGCCUUUGUCUAAAGUGGAACCUCAAACUCAAAUGUCUGCAGGGGCGAGGCAGGAGAAACGAGUGACAUGGUCUGGAUCUAAAGGAACAGGUUGCAGGGUGAGGACUCGACCCCACUGGAAAUAUCCUUCUUAAAGUGAAAACGUUCACUACAUUUUAAAUACUGAGCAGACCAAAUGAAGCUCCUCUGGAGCUUGGCUGGAGGGCUAUUUGCAACCCUUCAAACCUGUGUGAUCUUUCCUGAGCACUUACAAUGUGCCAGGUGCUACGCAGGAUGCUCGGAAGAAACCACAAACACAGGGUGGGCCAGGCCUCUGCCCUCAAGGAGCUGACAUCCUGCUGGGAGAGACAGAUAAUAACAAAGAUGAGUUUCAGGUCAUUUUAAGAGCUUUGAAGGAACCAUCAGGGAGACAGGAUAGAGAGUAAAUCAGGGAAGGCCUCUAAGAAUGGGUGAUGUUUGAGGUGAGACCAGAAGGUGGUGAGAAGCCACUUACAAGUGAAAUGCUUUCUAACCAAAGGAAAAAGCGAGUGCAAAGGCCCUGAGGUAGGAAUGAGUUUGCUUGAAGAACAGAAUAAACACCAGGAUGGCAGGAGGAGGGAACAGGAGUGGCAGCCUGCCACAGAGGAGGUUGGACUUCACCUUCCCCCAGCCCACACCUUCCAGGCCACACCUGUUGUUCUUGCUAGGUGUUUAGGGGAAAUGGGCAUCCGACACAGAAAUUCCCACCUCUGUUCUUUGUUCUUUUGUCUCAGCUGUGGACAAAAGCUUCCCUGGCAGCAAGUUACAAAGUUAUUUCUGCAAAAGGCCUUUGGCCAAAAGCAAUAAAGUUGGACCUGAACGGAGUCAUUAUUCACCCCUAUCUGUGGGCUGGCUCUCAGUGUAGACGCCUCAGCUGAGACUGAGGAUUCCAGUCCCCUAUUUUUUAACCCUACAUUUUCUCAGUACAGUUUACCCCCACAAGACACAUAUUUAUGGUUUCAGAGACUAUAGUUCCCUUUGAAAGAACAUAAAGGGAUAGGAAUCUAUUUUGGCCACCCGGUAUUAAUAAUCUAAUUAUUUCUUCCCUUUCCACCUAAUCCACAGCCAUGUGCGCCAUCCUCACCCAUCAAGGCCCUGCUAUCAGCAAAUGAGCGUCUCAUUAGCUCACCUUGGAAACGGCCCGGUGCUUACAAUUAUUUGAGAAGCUUGUACUCAUUGGCGGGGGAAGGAGUCUGAAGCAACUUUUCCCAAAUAACUCACUAAAUUUAGAGAUGCAAGUCGAGAGAAUUUCACAUGACAGGUCCAUUUCCAACCCUGGCAUGCUGUGCAAUCCAAUCAGCAGCUGGAAAUAGACUGCCGAGGGGAGAAAAGCCAUAGGUUAGAGGUGCUCUUUAUGCUUGGCUCAGUUUCUCCCACUGGCAGUCUCACCACACUGAGGGACUCACAGGGUGUCACUGGGUGUCCAGUGGCUGCAAGAGAAGGUGCGAGAGCUGGCUGCCAGUGUCCAGGCGGGGUGGGGUCUGGGGAGGCGGGAGCACACUCACUGUGCUGGAGGUUCCCUCAUUAUUGCACAUGCUCUCCCUUCCAGGAGCCAGCUCAGAUUAUCCCCAUUUUUGGGGUUAGGAUGCUGAGGCACAGCAGGGAUUCUGGGAGCUGAUUCUGUUUCAUAAAGAGGGCUCUCGGCCCCCAGCAGUGCCUGGGUUAUGGGCUCCCUGACCUGGAAGAGAGACCAGAGACUUGGGCAUUCUUGUUUUUCUUUUUUGGAAAAGAAAGAGGAGAGAAUCUUAAGCAGGCUCUACACCCAGGAUAGAGCCUGAUGCAGGGCUAAUCUCAUGGCCCUGAAAGCCUGACCUGAGCUGAAAUAAAAAGUCAGAUGCUUAACUGGCUGAGCCAUCCAGGUGCCCCUUGGGCAUUCUACUUAUACUAGAUUUUUAAAAAACGCAUUCAAUCAUUCCUCUACCCAUCCAUCCAUCCAUCCAUCCAUCCAUCCAUCUUCCAGCUACUUAUUCAAAAAUGAUAAUCUCUCAUCCUAGGUGUCAUUUAUUCAGGGGCUGAGUGGUGGUUUCUAACUUUGCCCAGCAUCUGGUCCCCUUCUCUUGAUCCUCGGAACCCAAUUUCCUUUUGAGGAUUUUUCUCUCCCCUGCCAGGUUGUGUCACUUUUUCCUGCCAUGUGACCCAGCGGUGAUCAUGUGACCAAAGUUGGUCAGACUCUCACAAGGCGUUUGACUUUUAAAAGGAGUGUCAAGCUGAGUGAAGUAAGCCAGUCGGAGAAGGACAAACAUUAUAUGUUCUCAUUCAUUUGGGGAAUAUAAAUAAUAGUGAAAGGGAAUAUAAGGGAAGGGGGAAGAAAUGUGUGGGAAAUAUCAGAAAGGGAGACAGAACGUAAAGACUGCUAACUCUGGGAAACGAACUAGGGGUGGUGGAAGGGGAGGAGGGCGCGGGGGUGGGAGUGAAUGGGUGACGGGCACUGGGGGUUAUUCUGUAUGUUAGUAAAUUGAACACCAAUAAAAAAUAAAUUAAAAAAAAAUAAAAUAAAAUAAAAUAAAAAAUAAAUAAAUAAAUAAAUUUUGUUCCAAGACAACAACAACAAAAAAAAUAAAAAAUAAAAAAAUAAAAG
rnacentral:lncRNA from 1 species